rnacentral:rRNA from 1 species
CCCUUCGGGGUGGAUUAGUGGCGAACGGGUGAGUAACACGUGGGCAAUCUGCCCUUCACUCUGGGACAAGCCCUGGAAACGGGGUCUAAUACCGGAUAACACUCCUGCCUGCAUGGGCGGGGGUUAAAAGCUCCGGCGGUGAAGGAUGAGCCCGCGGCCUAUCAGCUUGUUGGUGGGGUAAUGGCCCACCAAGGCGACGACGGGUAGCCGGCCUGAGAGGGCGACCGGCCACACUGGGACUGAGACACGGCCCAGACUCCUACGGGAGGCAGCAGUGGGGAAUAUUGCACAAUGGGCGAAAGCCUGAUGCAGCGACGCCGCGUGAGGGAUGACGGCCUUCGGGUUGUAAACCUCUUUCAGCAGGGAAGAAGCGAAAGUGACGGUACCUGCAGAAGAAGCGCCGGCUAACUACGUGCCAGCAGCCGCGGUAAUACGUAGGGCGCAAGCGUUGUCCGGAAUUAUUGGGCGUAAAGAGCUCGUAGGCGGCUUGUCACGUCGGAUGUGAAAGCCCGAGGCUUAACCUCGGGUCUGCAUUCGAUACGGGCUAGCUAGAGUGUGGUAGGGGAGAUCGGAAUUCCUGGUGUAGCGGUGAAAUGCGCAGAUAUCAGGAGGAACACCGGUGGCGAAGGCGGAUCUCUGGGCCAUUACUGACGCUGAGGAGCGAAAGCGUGGGGAGCGAACAGGAUUAGAUACCCUGGUAGUCCACGCCGUAAACGUUGGGAA